rnacentral:rRNA from 1 species
UACGUAGGGUGCGAGCGUUGUCCGGAAUUAUUGGGCGUAAAGAGCUCGUAGGCGGCUUGUCGCGUCGGAUGUGAAAGCCCGGGGCUUAACUCCGGGUCUGCAUUCGAUACGGGCAGGCUAGAGUUCGGUAGGGGAGAUCGGAAUUCCUGGUGUAGCGGUGAAAUGCGCAGAUAUCAGGAGGAACACCGGUGGCGAAGGCGGAUCUCUGGGCCGAUACUGACGCUGAGGAGCGAAAGCUAGGGGAGCAAACAGG